GUCCUGUCGAACUGCCGAGCCCGAGCACUGUAGCGACGGAGGAGAACGUGAGAGCCGAGACCGACUCCGCCUGACAUCUUGUUUCGAUCGUCAGAUCCUAUUAUUUCCCCCCUUCGAGUCCGAGUGUGUGUGCUGUUAGUGUUGGCUUUUUCCUACUCUGUGAGCUCUCUCUAGUCUCUCACCCCGACAUCAGUCUGUGUAAGGAUUCUUUCUACAGCUCGGUUAUCUCUUUGCCUUUCACGUAAACUUAAUUUGGCCAACGCGGCCGCCGCCCCGUCGUGUGUGUGGAUGUGUGUAUAUGCGUGUGUGUCUCGUAGACUCUAUCGCCUUUUGCCAAAUCCCCACCCCCAUUGCUCACACACACUAGGCACUACCACCACCCUGUUGUAUGUGUGUUUGAAAGAGUAAAGAGCCCAGUGAAAUGAGAGCCUGACUUAUGCUCUAUAUAACGGCGCCAAGAAUGCGGAAAGUGACACAUUGUGCUGUGCUGCUGGCGGGGCCUCAUCAUCAGGCGUCGCCGUUGUCCAAUAACCAAAUCGUUGCUGUUGCCUCCGUUUGAAAACAACUCGCCAGAGAAAAUCUACUUCAUUUUCAUCGUCCAACGUAUUCAGCCUCUCAGCCAAUCGAGCCAAAACGUUGGUCAUCUUAUUAAAAAGAAGAAUAUAUUUCAUCGUGACUGUGUCUGUGCUUCACACACACACACACACACACGCAAGUCGCCGAAAAAGCGACUGUGUGUGUCGACUCUUGUCUAUAGACCGACUCUCCCUCCCUAUCCCCAUCUCUCCCCUCCCCAUUCCCCCCACCCCCCCUACACACACAAGACUAGACGACAGGGGCCAUUCAGUUUUGACACGUCCGUCCCACACCCUCUCGCGUCGUCGUGUGUUUUUUUUAUUAUUAUUUUCGGACACUAGAUAAAUCGAGAGGAAGAAAAGGUAUUUUCUGACUUGGAACAAGCCGACACAAUUCCAAAGUGUCCAUGUGAAAGUGUUUUGUGCGUGAAAGGAGGAAAAAUCGAGCGCCAUUUGCACUCUCUCACGCCGGAAGAGAAAAACACGUCUGAAUUCGAUUUGAGAGCCGAUUUUUUCGACAAGUCGACCGUUUUUUUGAUUGUGUCACACACGGAAAACGCCCUUGUUGGAUCAUCACCUGGUUUUUAUACUCUGCUUCUGCUCCCAAGUUGACAACCACCACAAACGGGGAGGUGCAGCUGUGAUCUUCACAGUUUUCGGUGGAAACAUUUCUCUCUAGAACAAAAUCAGGCUGUCAUUUCUCAGCCUGUUGCCGUUGCUGAACUCUUUUCCAGUAUUAGCCAAUCGCCAAGUGGGGAAUACACAGCACGAUGGCCUGCUGCCUGUCUGAAGAAGCCAAAGAACAACGACGGAUAAACCAAGAAAUUGAAAAGCAGCUCCGAAGAGACAAACAGAAUGCCAGAAAAGAACUCAAACUGCUCUUGCUUGGUACGGGAGAGUCGGGAAAAUCGACCUUCAUCAAGCAGAUGCGCAUCAUUCACGGUGCCGGUUAUUCUGACGAGGACAAACGGGGUUUUAUCAAACUCGUCUAUCAAAACAUAUUCAUGGCUAUGCAGAGCAUGAUACGAGCCAUGGACAUGCUUCACAUCUCUUACGGAGACUCGCCUAAUAUAGAAAAAGCGGAACUAGUCCGGUCCGUCGACUACGAAACGGUCACAACUUUUGAAAGUCCUUAUGUCGAAGCCAUACGAGACUUGUGGAGGGAUGCCGGCAUUCAAGAGUGUUAUGACCGGAGGCGUGAAUAUCAACUCACAGAUUCUGCUAAAUACUAUUUGGACGAAUACGAACGGAUUGUUCUUCCCAGUUAUCUGCCAACUGAACAAGAUAUUCUUCGCGCUCGUAUUGCCACUACGGGAAUCAUUGAAUACCCGUUCGACUUGGAUUCGAUUCUUUUUCGAAUGGUAGACGUGGGCGGACAGCGAUCCGAGCGACGGAAAUGGAUUCACUGUUUUGAAAACGUCACUUCCAUCAUCUUCCUCGUUGCUCUAAGCGAGUACGAUCAGAUUCUUUUCGAAUCAGACAACGAGAAUCGAAUGGAAGAAUCCAAGGCUUUAUUCCGUACUAUCAUCACGUAUCCAUGGUUCCAGCACUCGUCAGUCAUCCUCUUUUUGAACAAAAAAGAUCUUCUAGAAGAGAAGAUUAUUUACUCCCACAUAGUCGACUACUUCCCCGAAUAUGAUGGACCCAAAAAAGAUCAUGUCGCUGCUCGCGAAUACAUUUUGAAAAUGUACAUGGCAAUGAAUCCAGAUCCUGAUCGAAGUUGCUAUUCGCACUUCACUGUUGCCACAGAUACCGAGAAUAUUAAGCUUGUGUUUUGUGCAGUCAAAGACACAAUCAUGCAGACUGCAUUGAAAGAAUACAAUUUGGCUUAGAAGGAAGUCGAAAUGGAUAGAAACAAUCUGGAAUUAGGAUAGGAAAAGAAUUGUUCAGAUACGGAGAAUAUUCGUUUUGUAUUUGCCGCCGUUAAGGAUACUAUUCUGCAACUCAACUUGCGGGAGUACAAUUUGGUGUGAAUUUCUUCAAUCCCUUUCCUGUUUUUCACGAUAAAACGCAAAAAAGUUUAAUUGAGUAUCCGCUCUUGCUCUCCCUCCGCCUCGAUUUCUCCACCCCUCCACCACCCCACCCUUCGUCAAGGAAAUCUUUGAAAGGGAGAAAACAAAACAAAUACGAGAAGAAGGGGGCGGGAUGUGAACGAGCAAGAAAAAAAAAGAAAAGAAACAAGCAAAAGCAUUUUGCAUCUGGUUCCAAGGUUUUUAUUUUGGGUUCGGAUGGCGUUUUAAAAAAAAAUUAUUUUCGAUUUCCUUCAAUUUUUCUCUUGAUUGACCCAUUAGUUGGAAGCCACAGAGAUGGGUGAAGAUUAAAAAAAAAAAAAAAAAAAAAAAAAACAAGUUUUAAGUAGUGGUGUGGUGUAUGCCGUUAGAAUCUGAACAUGCUGCGCUCUCUCUUUGCUCUCUCUUUGCCACUUUUUUUGAGGGGGGAGAGGGAGGCUGAUAUUCGUCGUGACCUGCAGCAUUUAAUUGACAGGUCAAGUUGUGAAUCGUUCGCAGAGCUCAGUGACCAAAUGGUGUUACCUCUUCCUUUCCCUUACACACAACCGCGUCCUUCCCUUCGCCCAUUUCCGCUCUGUGUACAUAAUGAAUUUUAACAGGAGACAACAGAAAAAGACUCGUCGAUCAUUUGUUUCUUCCUCCCUCUCUUUCUCUCUCUUUUGUGCCCCUCCAAGAAAAAACCAAAACUUCGAUCCGAAAGAAGAGGAAAUUAGAUACAAACAUAUGUAGAAGAUAAAUGCUUGUGUUUUUAUCCCGUUUUGACUCGGAAGAUUUUUUUUUUCUUUUUUUUUAAAUUUUAAUCCAAGGGCAAAAACAAACACGCUGUAUUCGAUAUGAACUUGUGUGUGUGCGUGUGUCAAGUGACUGCUGCUGCUGGGCGAAACUAAUGUAUGGACAGGUUUUGUAAGUAGGUGCGCAGAUUAUUGAAGCAGAAGACGGGGGAAGAAACAUGGCCUAGCUAGAAAUCGUACUAAUAUUAGUUCAUAUUAUAGUUUUGUCUCCGUGUUCAAUUCAGCGCGGGAAACAAAUUUGAAAAAAACGACGACACCUUUUUUUUUCUCCUGCACCACCCUCCCUGUCCCUCCCAAUCUUCCUCCACUUCUUCUCCUGCUCCUCCCGAUUUCGGCUCUAGUCUCGCCCCCCAGUUGUUCAUUAUUGGGGACAUGACAUAAGAAAAGGAAAAAAAAACACAAAAAAAAAUCAUGAAAAAAAAAAAAAUAUUAUUAAAUCUUCUGCGGACCCAUGAAAUCUAUACGUUAUUCUUCAUUUCUUUUGACUGUACUUAAAAGAAAAAAAAACGAAGUCAUCGGCCAUUUUAGUCGCAAAUUGAUUGUUUUCGCUCCUCCAUCAUGUGUAUGUGCAAUUUUUACAGAUUUUUUUUUAAUUCUCCCUAUUCCCUCCUCCCAUUCCUCCCUUCCAUUCUUCCUAUUUCUCACUCGCUCUAUAUACUGUGACCCGCCUACUACCCACCCAAAACCCCCCCAUCUCCCCAAUUUUGAUUCUUAGUUUAUAUCAAUGAAUACGUUUGUUUAUAUUUUGCGCGCGGAUGGGGCCAGGCCAUCAGUUUCAAAUUACUUUCUUGUUUGGGUUUCUUGUGACCCAUUCAAAAAAGAUGACAUAGGGCUCGUAGUUUUUUUUCUUAUCAGCAAAAAAAAAAAAAAGGAAAACACAUUUUCAUUCUCUUCCCGCCACUUGUGUGCUGUCUUGCUCGAAAAAAAGUUUAAAAAAAAGUAAAAAACAUUGAAUAAUGGCGGUGUCUUGACUUUGAUCCCGUUUGAUUUCAUUCGCUAUCUCUAGCUCUCUCUUUUUUUAAUUUCCAUUGUAAUUCUAUUGUAUUGUACUGUACCGUGUACUGUAUUGAUGAUUUAAUCCGACAUUGGAAAUGAAGAAUGGUUGAAAUGA